AGGGUUGUAGUUCAGUGGUAGAUCAGUUGUUUUGCAUGCAGAAGGGUCCCAGGCUCAAGCCCUGGCAGUUCCA